GGCUACACACGUGCUACAAUGGGUAGUACAGAGAGUCGCAAAGCCGCGAGGUGGAGCUAAUCUCAGAAAACUAUUCUUAGUUCGGAUUGUACUCUGCAACUCGAGUACAUGAAGUUGGAAUCGCUAGUAAUCGCAAAUCAGCAAUGUUGCUGGUGAAUACGUUCUCGGGUCUUGUACACACCGCCCGUCACACCACGAGAGUUGGUUGCACCUGAAGUAGCAGGCCUAACCGUAAGGAGGGAUGCUCCGAGGGUGUGAUUAGCGAUUGGGGUGAAGUCGUAACAAGGUAUCCGUACGGGAACGU
rnacentral:rRNA from 1 species